GACGAACGCUGGCGGCGUGCUUAACACAUGCAAGUCGAACGGAAAGGCCCUGCUUUUGUGGGGUGCUCGAGUGGCGAACGGGUGAGUAACACGUGAGUAACCUGCCCUUGACUUUGGGAUAACUUCAGGAAACUGGGGCUAAUACCGGAUAGGAGCUCCUGCUGCAUGGUGGGGUUGGAAAGUUUCGGCGGUUGGGGAUGGACUCGCGGCUUAUCAGCUUGUUGGUGGGGUAGUGGCUUACCAAGGCUUUGACGGGUAGCCGGCCUGAGAGGGUGACCGGCCACAAUGGGGCUGAGAUACGGGCCAGACUCCUACGGGGGGGAGGAGUGGGGGAUAUUGCACAAUGGGCGGAAGCCUGAUGCAGCAACGCCGCGUGCGGGAUGACGGCCUUCGGGUUGUAAACCGCUUUCGCCUGUGACGAAGCGUGAGUGACGGUAAUGGGUAAAGAAGCACCGGCUAACUACGUG
rnacentral:rRNA from 1 species